rnacentral:rRNA from 1 species
GAUCAUGGCUCAGGACGAACGCUGGCGGCGUGCCUAACACAUGCAAGUCGAACGGAAGUUAGAGCUUCGGUUUUAACUUUAGUGGCGAACGGGUGAGUAACGCGUGAGGAACCUGCCUUUCAGUGGGGGACAACAGUUGGAACGACUGCUAAUACCGCAUGAUGGCUUUUUGGGAGACAUCUCCUGGAAGCCAAAGCUUUAAGUGCUGAAAGAUGGCCUCGCGUCUGAUUAGCUAGUUGGUGAGGUAACGG